rnacentral:rRNA from 1 species
GAACCUUACCUGGGCUCGAAGCGCAGUGGACCGGGGUGGAAACAUCCCUUCCCCUUAAAAGGCUGCUGCGGAGGUGCUGCAUGGCUGUCGUCAGCUCGUGUCGUGAGAUGUUGGGUUAAGUCCCGCAACGAGCGCAACCCUUGUCCUGUGUUGCCAUCAUUCAGUUGGGAACUCGCAGGAGACCGCCAGCGAUAAGCUGGAGGAAGGUGGGGAUGACGUCAAGUCCUCAUGGCCUUUAUGUCCAGGGCUACACACGUGCUACAAUGGACGGUACAAACCGCUGCAAACCCGCGAGGGGGAGCCAAUCGGAAAAAACCGUUCUCAGUUCGGAUUGCAGGCUGCAACUCGCCUGCAUGAAGCUGGAAUCGCUAGUAAUGGCAGAUCAGCACGCUGCCGUGAAUACGUUCCCGGGCCUUGUCACACCGA